rnacentral:misc_RNA from 1 species
UUAUCCAUCCAUCCAUCUAUCUAUAUAACUGUCUGUCUAUCAAUCUAUCUGCAUAUCUGUCUAUCCUUCUCUGUGCCAUGGUGUCUGCUGUCUCCAACUCAAAGAGAAUGCUGACGGUAGUUUUUAUGCGGUUAACCAGAUAGAAACGAUAUAGAGCGGGCUGUCAAGUUUGCUCCAUUACAAUUCUAGACGUCAUUUCCUUGCAUUUUAUACGGCACUCGACUCUCCCCGACCAACCAUGGGCAAAUGUGGUUCCAAGAACAACGACAGUAAUAAGUCGUAUCUGUUACAGUCUUUGAACCAGCAUACAGCUGGAAUUAACUGCAUGGCACUGAGUGAAGACGGUUCGGUGCUGGCAACGGGCAGCGACGAUAAAACCGCGCGACUAUGGAGCACGAAAACACGCAAGUGUGAAUGUAUGGGAACGUUGGUCGGUCACACGGAUUAUAUCAAUUGCAUUCUCAUUGAGGAAGCUGAUGUCCUGACAGGCAGCGCUGACAAAACAAUUCGUAAAUGGGAUAUUUCCACUUGUCAAUGUCUUUUAGUCAUGGAAGGUCAUAAAUCGUUAAUAUAUCGUAUUAUAUGUACGGGCGACUUUGUCAUAUCCAGUUCGUACGACCGCACAGCUAAAUGCUGGGAUUUCAAUGAAGGCAUAAGUUUGAUGACAUUCGAAGGCCAUAAGCGAGGAGUGUUUUCUUUAAUUUUCAUCCCUUCUGAUGAGGAGGAAUACGAAGACGCAGAAGAUGACGAAGCUAUGGAUAUUCUAGUGACAGGUUCGGCGGAUGGGGAUGCUAAAGCCUGGAACUUUGAGAGUGGCGAAUGUCUCCAUACAUUCAAAGGUCACACAAACGCCAUCACAUGUAUGGCUAUGGAUUCUGUUGGAGAGACAUUAUUUACGGGCAGUUUGGACCAUACAGUACGGAGCUGGAAUGUGAUGACCGGAGAGAGCUACAAGGUAUUCCAAGGGCACCAAGCAUCAGUGAUAUCUCUUCAGAUUUGCAACAAGAUUUUAUAUACAGGCAGUUCAGACCACACAUCACGCUCUUGGGUAUCGGAAUUUGCCGAAUGUACCCGAGUUUAUCGCGGGCAUAGACACACUGUGAUCUGCAUGAGGUUUCAUGAAGGGUUACUUUUUACAGGUUGUGGUGACACAUUCUGCCGUGCGUUCGAUGCCAAGUCAGGAGCUCUGAAGAGAACAUUCCGAGGCCACGAGACAGCAGUCCGUACCAUGCAGGUAGUUGAUAACAAGCUAUUCACGGGAUCUUUUGACGGCACACUUAAUAUAUGGAACAUCAAGGGUGUGGCCGACGAGAUCAACUACAACACCAUCAUGGAGGAAGACGACAACAACGAGAAGACCCAGAUGCAGAUGGAAGAGAUUGAAAAAAUUGGCGGAUUAUAAAACGUUCUGUAAACCAAUAAUAUCGACUGUGUACGACGACGACUUCAUAUACAACCUUUACGGACUGUAACUAAUGAUGUAUGAUGAUGUAUGACGGUGAAUAACGACUAAUGGACCAUUACAGAAGCAUUAACAUGAUUGGAGUAGACUGAACAAUAAUACUCUGAUUGUUUUAUUUUUAUAUAUUGUUAUUAUUAGCACUGUUGAGACGUCGAAGACUUGGUUUUUGAAUUAACUUACAACACAUUCCUGAUAAGAAAAUUAAAAAAACGCACAUAAAUUCACCCUGAGCCUUUAUUUUAUUAUAAACAAGGAAAAGGAACGAUGUUUAUUUCGAUAGUAUGAAGGAGAACUGUAGGUGAGAUCUGUCGAAAGUUUCCAGCAAAUAGCCAUAAGGUUUUGCUAUUAUAGGCGGCGAGCUGGGAGAAUCGUUAGCAUGCCGGGCGAAAUGCUUAGCGGUAUUUCGUCU